UGCCUACGGGAGGCAGCAGUUGGGAAUAUUGGACAAUGGAGGAAACUCUGAUCCAGUGACGCCGCGUGAAGGAAGAAGGUCUUCGGAUUGUAAACUUAUUUUAUCAGGGAAGAAAAAAAUGACUGUACCUGAAGAAGAAGCACCGGCUAACUACGUGCCAGCAGCCGCGGUAAUACGUAGGGUGCAAGCGUUAUCCGGAUUUACUGGGUGUAAAGGGCGAGUAGACGGCGUUGCAAGUCAGAUGUGAAAGGCAGGGGCUUAACCCCUGAACUGCUUUGGAAACUGCCAUGCUAGAGAGCUGGAGG
rnacentral:rRNA from 1 species